CGCGACCGGUCGCCGACAUCCGGGGCAGGAGUGGGGGAACCACCUUCGUCGUCCGCGCGGACCACUCGGGGUGAAGCCACCAGCCGGUGGCCGGGCACCUUCCACGCCCGAACCCGACAGCUCACCUCACAGGCGUGGGAAGGAACCA
rnacentral:sRNA from 2 species